rnacentral:tRNA from 1 species
GGGCUUAUAGCUCAGUUGGUUAGAGCGCACGCCUGAUAAGCGUGAGGUCGGUGGUUCGAGUCCACCUAAGCCCA